ACAAUUCCAAGUAGGUUUGCCUUUGCCGGCUACUCUCUCAAUUCUUUUUUAUCAUUCUUUUUUUUGGGUCUUCAUUAUUUUUUUCUAAAUGACUGAUAGCUUCGAUGCGCCAUUUUUUUGAACUCUUUUUUUGCAGUGAUUGGGUUUAAUGUAGAGACUGUACUGUAACGCCCCUUACCCGAGACCGUUGCCGGAGUCGAGCACAAGGCACUACUAAACUUAUUUGAGCACUUAACCAAAUUUAGAUAAUUUAUAUCAUACUUUUCAGACAAGCUGUCCAACUGCGUCAUAGUUGCUAAAUAAUUCAUAUCUCGAGUUAUAAAACUCGAAACCCAAAUCCGUAAAUUUUCCCCGAAUUUAUACUCAUAUAUCUACUUACCAAUUUUUUUUAUAAUUUUUGGUUGGUCAAAUUAGUACAGUUUAUUAGUUAAAUCCUCCCCUAUUUCAGGGUUUGGCUACUUUGACCCCUGUGCACUACGAACCAAAUUUCUCUCUGUACAAAAUUCAAAUAACCAUGCCGUUUGUUUCUCUUAAAAAUAGACCCAAUGAGGAAUCCAUACAUAUAUAGUAUGACUCAUAAUUAUUUUUGUGAAAUUUUUAAUGAUUUUCUAAAAUCAGAACAGGGGAACUCGAAGUCAUUCAGACUCUGUCUCACCACAAUUUAAAUAUCUCAUAACAUAAAAUCCAAUUGCAUGCACCGUUUCCUCUAUAUGAAACUAGACUCAUUAGGCUUUAAUCUUAUUUUUGUUUCCAGCCCUUAACUCAAUUUCCACAAUUUAUGGUGAAUUUUCAAAGUCAAACUACUGCUACUUACCAAAAACUAUUUUAGUACAAAUAUUGUUAACUAGUUCAUAACAUCUUUACUUCAAUUCAUUCAAAUUCUAUACAUGCCAUAUAAAUCUUUAAACAUAAAAUAAAAACUACCAGAAUUGAUCUGAAUAGUGUGCCCUGUUGUGUUGAUUCGAUCUACCCACUUCACUUCAAGUCAAUCUACAUAAAAAUAUUAAACACACACAAGUAAGCUUAUUGAAGCUUAGUAAGCUCAUAGGCAUAUAAACACAAAUCAUAUCAAAUAUCGUACACAAUCUUAUAUCUAUUAGUUUAACUAUUUCAUCCUCCAAAUUACAAUUUCAUUAAUAACUCAUUGGAAUAAUUUCCAUAUGGCUACUCACAAUUUAACUCCCUUGGGCCCAUUUCUCAUUUACUUCAUUGUCAAUUUAAGGAACAAUAAGGGAAUUGAGUGCUUCAUUAUCACAUUGCCAUAGUAAACUAUGGACUUUCACAUUGUUAUGCAUCACACACCGAAGCCAUAGCCUUGCCAUGGUCUUACACGGUUCACAUAUCAUACCGAAGCCAUAUCCCAGACAUGGUCUUAUACGGAAUCACAUUAUCACAUUAUACCGAUGCCAUAGCCCAGAUAUGGUCUUAUACGGAGUCACAUUAUCACAUUGCACCGAUGCCAUAGCCCAGCUAUGGUCUUAAACGGGCACACUUAUCACAUAUUUUUCGUCAAUUCAUCAGGGUCACAGAAUAGAAGCAUUCAAAUCCAUUGUUCCUACUAAUUUACACAUUAUUCAUUAGUUAAUGCAAAUUGAUAGUAUUCAUCAACAAUAAAAUACUUUAACAAUCAUAAGAUUUUCAUAUCAAAACAUUGAACUUUGCUAUAUGAACUUACCUGGACUAAUUUGCAAAAGUCGUAGAAAUUCAGGGACUAUUCUUAAAUUUUCUCCUUUCCAUGAUUCAGUUCGUUUUCUUGAUCUAUAAUUAUAAAAUCAUUCCUGCAUUAGCAUCCAUUUCAAUUCUAUUUCACUUCACAAUUUAUACUGUUCAAAUUUCGAAAUUGCACUUUUACCCCAAAAUUUACAGUUUUCACAAUUUAGUCCCUGCUCAAUUCACCCAUCAAUUGAACUAAUUUUUCUCAAUUAACACUUUAUUUUAUCAUUAUAAACUAUUUCAAAACCUUUUAUAUUCUUAAUUUCAACAGAAACCUUCAAUUCACAACUUUUUCACAAUUAGGUUCUAAAUAUCAUUUCCUAUCAAAAUCACUUAAUAAAACCACCUUAAUAUGAAAUUAGAACUUAAAUUUCAUAAUAAUUCAUCAUAAAAUUCCCUUAUCCAUCCAGGGUAACUUCCAAUUUCACCCAUAAAAUCAAAAACUAAUGAAUUCUACAAGUGGACCUAAUUGUAAAAGUCAUAAAAACAUAAAAAUUAUCAAGAAAAGUAAGAAUUAAACUCACAUGAUGUAAAAAUAUGAAAAACCAGCUUUCUCCAGACCUUCUAUGGCGUUUUGGCUGAGAAAAUAUGAAGAAAUGUCUAGAUUUUUCAAUUACAUCAUUAUUUAACUAUUAAUUUUUAUGCUAUUUCCAAUUUUGCCCCUUGUUCACAUUGUUUUCUUGCUUAUUUCAUACCCAAACCGUCCAGCCAUUAACAUUUGGGUCUAAUUGCUCUUUAAAUCCAUCUUUUUAAAUACUUAAGCUAUUUCUCACAAUUUAACAAAUUUUGCGCUAUUUUCAAUUUAGUCCUUUUUAAUUAAUUAGCCAUCCAAACGUUAAAAUUUUAUAACGAAACUUUAAUACUAACUCAAUGACACUCCAUAAAUAUUUAUAAAAAUAUUUAUAACUCAAUUUUAAACUUUGAGGUCUCGAUACCUUAUUUUUUACCCGUUUGACCUAAUAAAUUCUUUUAAUUCACUAAUUUCACCAUUUCACAAAUUCUUCUAAAUUCUUACUUGACUCAUAAAUAUUAAAUUACUAUCUUGUUCAAUCUUAUUUGUCAAAUUUAGUGAUCUCAAAUCACCAUUUCUGACACCACUGAAAAUUAGGCCGUUACAUGUACAAUACAACAAUAUCAAGUUUCAAGUAUGGGAUUUAGAUAAGUUAAUGUUAACAAAUCUGAAAUAGCGGCUAAUGUAGUUUAUACAAAUGGAGUUCAAUUUAAUUUAUCGAAUCACUGGAAUUUGCCUUAAUCCUUUUACUUAAAAUUGAAUCAUUGAAUUUCAUUUUUGAUCCUAUAUUUAUCUGGUUGGCCUGCUUGCUUUGGCAUUUGCCACAAGGCCUUUGGGAAUUUUAGUUACAGUUUGAACUGUAUGAGAUUAUAUCAACAAAAAUUUUUGUGGCUUGAAUUUACAGAGAAAUUGUUUCAAUUGUUGAGUUUAAACAUGUAGCUCCACUUUUCUUAUCAGCAGUGAGAUAUUAUAAAGUUGUAACAUUCAUUUAACUCUUUGUUCUAGUUUAAAUCAAAUGUAGUUUUGUUUUUUGCAGGUGGUCAGACAAGCAUUAGGUACUUGUUUUUAAGCUAUGUGUUCUCAAGGAAACAUCCCAAUACUUUUGGUACAGAUGAGAUUUUCAAUUGAUUUGUUAAAGUAGCUUUAACUGUUGUGGUGUGUCUUCUAACUAAUGGAGAUGCAACCUCUAAUUUACUUUGCUUCCUCUAUUUAUUUAAUUCUGAUAUGGGGAUAUCUUGUGGGUUUUUCUGGCUGCUCUUUAGCUGGACAAUAAGGUGAGAUAAAAGAAGAUUCAUCAUUUUUCAUUUAUUUACA
rnacentral:lncRNA from 1 species